rnacentral:lncRNA from 1 species
AACGACGUUGCCGCGCUGCUGUAACCGUUAUUAAUUGUUUGCGCUCGUUACCACCGUGUUUAUCACACAGAUCGCGUGACCGUCCGUCCGUGGUCACAGUAGCUCCCGCGCCGGUGAAAAGAGUUCGCUACGAUAAUAAUAUAUUAUAUAUAUAUAUUUUUUUGCCGUUUCAUCGCACCGAAAACGCUUUCUCAGUGCUCACUGGCAGUGAGUCACUGCUCAGUCGACGUUUUGCGGUCUUCGCGUGAUGAACUCUUCGUUAUAGCUGUCCUACAUCCAACAUGAAGCAGCAAUUAGAUUUGGUGUCGGACAACCGGUGUUUUAGCGGACAACAAAAGGUCUACGAACACGACAGGUCGGUACUGGUACCUAUACUUAUAAGAUAUUAUUGAUACCAUCAAUGGCGUAGCCUGCACACAGGGGUUUUUUAAUGUUAUAAACCCCCACAAUCCUUUUUUUAACGAUAAGUAAGAUAAAGAUGAUUAUAGACGCCUAAACCUCCGAACUCCUCCCCCCCUUGAUAAAUACCAUUGGAAAUCAUAGAAUGUCUAAUAAGUCACAAUCCGAUUUAAAUGAUAGAUAAUAAUAUUUUGGAUAACAGAUAUUAUUAUUGUUACUUAUCGACUAUCGUAUUUAAGUAUUAUAUUUUUCCUUGACUUGCCAAUAGUUAUGACUUCUAAAUGUUCUCAACAAUCUCAUAAGAAAACAGUCUAUAACUAAAAAGCAAAAGGUACAAAUUUAGCCAGCUAUGUAGCUAUAUAAUAUUAUUAUUAUUAUUGUCGUCUGAUAAUAACGUAAUUAAUGUGUUUUGCCUGAGAAAUGACGAUGUCCAUUUGAAGAUAAUAAAAGUAUCUCGGUGAGUUGAAUAACUAUGAUAGUCCGAUAAUUCCGUUACUUGGGUACUUUUUUUAAUACUAGGUACCGUUUUUAGUGUGACUGCUGACUAGUGAAAUAUUCUACAUUUUUACACGCAGUUACUGUACCUAUGUUGUAUUAGAUGCUAAUGGAUUUUUAUUUCUUACACAGUUUCAGUUCAGUUGUCUAUGAUUACAAUAGAUAACAGGUUUAUUCAACUUAGUGGUGGUCACAUGAUUUUUUUCAUCAGGGAAUGAGGCUAAUUUUUUUAGCAAUUAUUAUUAUUGUUUUUAUAUAUAUUAAUGUAUUAUUUACAGGUUAAUUCUUUUAUUGCUGAACACUCAUUAUUUAGCAAAAUAUUAACUUUUAAAAAAAAGUUUAACAAUUAAAGAACUAGAUUUAAUAUUUGCAUUGAUAUUAUUUUUGUCAUCCUUAUUUUCGGGGAUCUACUUUUGAAUUUUGAAUUUUCUAAUAGUAACCUACAUUAAAAAUAUUAGUUAAAAUAAAGUAUAAUUAGUUUAAAUAAAUUUAAUUGUUGACAUUUUUGAUUUCCGUCAACCCGUUUACGAGAUAUUCCACUUUUGAGUGUUGGUAGGGGAGAGUAGUGGAGUACUCUUUAAACGCCGCGUGGCAUACUGCUAUCCAAAUGAUACUCUGCUACUUCUUCCCUAUCUAAACUUGAAUGUGGAAUAUAUCAUGAGCGGGUUGACAGAAAUCACCAAUUUCAACACCAAAACUCAUUUAAACUAAUACUCUAUCCAUUUAUGGAACUUUGAAUGUAGGUUACCAUUUUAAAAUCAAAAGUUGAUAGUCGUUUCAUCCCAAAAAAUAAUAAUAAUGUACAUUUUAGAACAUUAUGUUUCUUAAGUCAUUAGGUACUUUGCGAAAUAAUUAGUGUUCAACGAUAAAAGAAUCAUCCUGUAUUAUUAUAAAUAUUGAAGAAAAACGUGUUAUAGGGAAUGUAUUCCCCUUACAUCCCCCCAUCGUUUGUUCACCAAUGAUUCAUAUAAUAUUAAACCGGGGGAUACAGUUCUGUAUAGGUAUAGGAAUAGGUAGGUAAAUUAAUACAAGAUAAUUCUAAUUAGAUUUAAAAUAAGUUUAAUAUUGUAUUAUUUGGAGUGUUGGUCGGUAGACAGAAAAAUAAAACAGUGUUGUAAAGAUAGGAAUGCUUAGUUGGAUGGAUGGAGUGACGAGAAAAGAUAUGAUAAGGAAUUCUCACAUAAGAGGUAGAUUAUGCGUGGCUACGAUUGUAGACAAAAUUAUGUAUGUAAAGAUGCCCCCCUCCCACUUUGGCCGAUCACUUCCUGACAAAUUGUAAACAAUUGGUUUAUCCCUUGUAAAUAAUUGUAAAGUCAAUCUUUAAAAUUUGUAAAUUAUUAAAAAGAAAUAGAAUUUAUAAACAAAGUGGGAGGGCUAAGUUCACGUAGCUUUUUACUUUGGCCGAUCGAUUCAUUUUAAAUAGCUGUAAAAUAAAUGCGAUUUUAAAAUUACUAACUUAUCAGAGAUUUUAGAACUUAAAAAUUUAUUGGGAUGAUCAUUUUUUAAAAAUAAUUUGGUAACUACACCCGAUGUAUAAAUUAAUUUUUAGCAGAGAUGUGAAAUUUGAACAAACGGAGAAGGGAACUCCAUUUAAAUUUUGGGAGUAUUAAGAUAAGAUAUUAUAAGACCGGUUUCGUCUUAUAAAUUCAUCAUCAGGUAUAUCACAGUCAAAUGUAAAACGCGACUCGCGUUUUACUUAGCACGUGGGGGCAGCCACUGUUGUAUAUGAGAAGUUGGGAAGGUAGUAGAGGGGAAAUUUAAUGUAUAUUUGUAAGCAACAAUAGACUAUUUCUAGCGAAAAACGAUUCUGAGCGAAGUUCUGUUGAUAGUGUUGCUCUGUUAACAAUAUAUAUGCUGUAUUAUAGUAAAAUAAUUACAUAGGCAUUAUAUAUUUUCAUUAAAAUAUUAUUUUUUUAAUAUUGUAUCUAUUUUUCGGUUUUUCCUUUUAGAAAAAUGCUAUUAUUGUAAAUUGGAGCAUAAUUGCUAGUAGAAAAGAUCCACUAAUAAAAAAAAAAUAAACAACUUUGUAAAAUCAUGAGCUUCUUCGCUCCACUAAGAAUCUAAAAUAAAUAGAAUAUUAACAAAGAUAUAAAAUCUGUUCAACGCGGUGGACAUACAGGGUAUAUAGCAUACACUUGUAAAAAUAAUAAUAUAUCCGGUGAUCCAUUUAAGUGGGCACACUCAAAUGGCAAAAUUCACCCAGAAUCUAAAGUUAAAUGAGUGAUUUAUCGAAAAUUGAUUAUUUGUAUAAUGGUAUAACGUUAUAAUAUCAUGUCCAGAUCAAGAUGAUUUGGCCUAGGGCCAAAUAAUUUUAGGGGCCCAUAAACAUAAUACAAAUAUUGGUGACUCACAAAUAAAUAUAUUUCAGAGAUCGUCGUACAUUUGUAAUCGACAGAGUUCCUAUUUUCUUACUAUAAUCAUCUUGCUAAAAAUAGACAAUAUUACGAUAGCAGAAAUAAUAAUAAUAAUAAAAAUUUAUCCAUUAUCCGUAAUAUAUUAUAGGAAACUUACUACUGGCCAAGGCCAGUGGCCUACAGUAUUACGAUAUAAUAUUUUCAUACUGGUUCAAUUGCUAUCGAUUGCUAUAGUUAAUGUUCAAUGUAAUAUUUGUUUUAUAAAAUAUAAUAUGUGUAUAUACCAGAUACCUAUUACUUUUGUUUAUACUAAGGCAUUUAGCUAAAUAAAACCGAAGUUACAAAAUAUACAUUACUAUUACGUAUUCUGUAUAGAGUAUAGGCCAUAGGGUGCCUCCGAAGUUUUAGAAAAUAAUUAAGGGUGCUGUGAGUCAAAAAAAUUUGGGAACUUCUGAUUUAGGUAGUUAAAUUACUAAUAAACACCAUGUCGUAAGUUGUUUUUUUUAUUGUUAUUAUUAUUUUUUUUUAAAAUUUAAAUUGCUGUUUGUUAAAUAGAUACCUACCUGAAAUAUUAAACUGUGACCUAAUUGGAGUAAUUAUUAAAUAUUACUAGCCAAUAACAAACCGGCUACACGUUUGGGUAGAUUUCGAUAUUUUUACAUUCAAUUAUAAAACACGGUUGAGUACAGUACACAUACUUGCGGGUUUUGGUUCUACAUAAAUAAAACAAGUAAUCAGUUUAUCUACAGGCUAUGAUAGACUAUGACAUAUACACUAGUGACUAGUGUAUUGAUUAUGAUACACUUGUUAUUUUCAACGUGAUUUAUACGUAAUAUAGUCAGUGUUUCCGACGUUUUCGAGACUUGGCGUGGGAAGAGUGUUAUAAAAUUUAAAAAAAGAGCUGAUACUGAGGACGGAAGAGGCCACUGUUGUAGUUGAGAAGUUGGGAAGAUAGGAUAUAUAAGGUUAUUUCAUUUAUAUCUGUAAGCAACGAUAAACCAUUGUUGACGAAAGACGAUUCCGAGCGUAGUUCGGUAAUACAUAAUUUGAAGUGCCGUAUUUUUUUUCGGUACUUUUGUUAAAAUAUGAUAUUUCAAAAUCAUUUAAUAAAAAAAAAGUUCAACAAAAAUAUGGUCUCUUGUUGUUGAAGAGAAUAAGACACUAUAUUAUCACAUCCUUUCAAACUUCUCUCCUUGAACAGUAUCAACCUUUUUUUAUACUUUUGUACUUUAGAUGAUUAUAUAAUAAAUACAAUUUUGUGUAAUUUUCCACAUCAUCUUAGCUUGACAAACGACAUCAAUUAUUUUUAUUUAUUAUUUUUUUUAUCAAUUGAAGUUACGUAAACUAUGAGAUAUUGCACAUAGGCACAUAGAAUUCUUGUAUUUUUGCGAUUAAAGCACUUUUCCUAUUAAUAAACGUUUUCUGUAUUCAUGUAAAACAAUAAUAUCGUGAAAUUUUACGUUUUUCUUACGUUUUUUCCCGAUUAUUAUGAAAACUAAUUCGAAAAUCAAAAAAACGAACUACAUCAUUAAAAAAAAGAUUAAUAAUUCAACAAAAAAGGUCUCUUGUGGUUUUUCAACUGGAGCCAUAUUUGUGCUAGAAAACGUGGUAGGUACUUAUUUAAAAUAAUGAAAUCGUGAAAAAUCUUUUUUUUUUCUUGGUUAAUCGUUUUUAUUUUAAAUACAGUUUCGAAAAUCAAAAAAUAACCUAUGUAUUUACCAAAUAAAUAAAAUUGACUUUCAGAAAAGGUGCUACACUUAUACAUCAGAUAGAGCAAGUUUUCUAGGAUAAAAGUGGUCUAUAGUAUAUACAUAAAAAAAGUACAAUUGUAAAAAAAUUAAAAAAGUCGUCCGAUGAUUUUGGAAAUUUUACCACGUCUAGGUAAAUUCAAUAUAAGUAUUAUUACCAAGUUUCAAGUCUUUACGUGUAUUUAUAACCGAAUUACAGCAAAAAAUUGCCAAUAAUUAAAACUCGUAAGAGAGUAAAUCAAAUAGGCGAAAAAAAAGGUGUUAAAUCAUUCUUUCUGGUUGAAAACGUCGUCCGUGUUUUUAUAAAUAACGAAAUUGUGAAAUUGUACGUUUUCCUACGUUUUUUCCCACUUAAGUGCUUUUUUAUAUAAAAAUGGCGUCAAAAAUUAGAAGUACCAUUUAGACAACUUGAGAUUUCAGUAAAGUUGUUACACGUAAAAAUCGGAGCAAGUUUACUAGGAAAAAACGUUUCCACAGACUAGAAGAAAAAAAAAACAUCUUAGUAAAACCUUAUCUUAGUAAAUAGACGUUUCGAAAUCAUUCCAAUUGUUUAGAUUAUUCUGAAAAAGAAGUUUGUGUAAAGUUUGAAGAAAAAAAUUUCCUGAUACCUUUAAUUUUAAUCAAAAUCUAGUAAUUUUUGACUGUAAAAAUAUUAUAGCUACUUAAACUUAUAAAGUUAAUAAAAUAACAAAUAAAUUAUUGCACCGAUUUAUUAUUAUUAAAGUACCUAUUAUCGUGUUAUUUUUACAGACAAUAUAGUGUAUAAACGUAUUGUAUUUUGGGUUUAUUUACCCAAACUGAUUACAUUCGAUAACAUUGAAUGUUUCCGGCGCGUUUUUAACAUCCUUUGAUUUUCUACUGCUCUCUUAGCAAAAAAGACUUGUUAGAUACACUAACCAAAUUCAUAACACUAUCUAGUUUUUGGUUGAGAACACCUGUUAGUAAAAUAGUUACCAAUAUGUUUAACAAUGUUAGCUCAGUGUAAACACGGACUUAAGGCACCUAUAGGUGUCGACUUAAUUCGUAUACUUCAUUAAUUAAUGAAUAUGCAUUAAAAUUACGUGGUAAUAAAUAUCACUUCAUAGGUACCUAUGCAAAUCGGCGUUUAGAUUAAAAAAGUAUGUACAUAUCUAGGUACUUCCGAUUUUAUAAGAAGACAUUGUUUUCGAGUCAAAGAAAACAAUGAUAUUUUUCGGAAGAUUAUCUAGGUAUUUCCAAUAUUUAGACAUAUUAUAGAAUUAAAACUGUAACUAUUUAUAAAUAACAAUAAAUACAGAAAAACUCGCAACAAAAUAAUUUGAAAAUAGUAAUUAAAUGGGCUGUGUAUAGAUUAGGGAAAUUGUCUAAUAUGUGAUACCUAGGUAUAUAUUUUAACGUUAACGGUAUGACGUGUGAUGUACCAAGACAAUUGACAAUUGACGAUAUAAUUUCCUGUAUAGCUUAAUAAAUAUAUGUAAUAUUAUUAUUAAGAGUUUAUUAUUUUGGGUUUGUUUAUCUUUGAAAUUUAAAUGUUUAAAUUUUGACAUAGCGGACAGUUGUUGAAGUUUGUAAUAUUUAGUAUUAACUAGAUGUGCACUACAAUGGUAUUAGUUUAAUUGUCUGAUUGUCAAAUUAUUAAUAUGAUAUCUUUUAGAUAUUAUCGUCCAACUGUUUAGAAGAGGUUACAGUGUUUUAAAUUAUUUUUUUUUAGAAUUUUAGUGAAGCGAGGAGCGUAAAUUGAUUUUACUUAUAUGAAAUAUGAUGUGUGUUUUUAGAUUUAGAGUGUAUUACUAUGAUGUGUGAUUUUUAUUUUUUGUCUGUUAACUAUUUUUCUACCAGCAAUUUAUUUCUUCAUAAAGAUUUCUUCGGGAGAUUUGUAAUCCUAAUGUUGAAAUAAAAAUAAUGUAAUUAGUAUUAAUAUAAAUGAUAUUGAUAUAGAUAAUAUUAAAUCAAUCAUUAAUAUUACAAUUUUCUCUAUAAAAACAUACAUUUCUACAAUCAGGAAGUUCAGCAUCAUGUGACGUUCAUUUUCGGUAAUACGGCGAUUAAAAACGUUGUCUAGAGUGUUAUGUCCAAUGAGAAGUUUUCAAAUGUAUCAUUAAGUCAUAUAGGAGACAAACAAUAUUAAUCUUGUUAAUAUUAAAUUCUAAAUACUUUGGCCGAAAAAAGUAUAAGUUAAACUUAAUUUUUUAAUUUAUUUGCAAUUCUUAAUUUGUAUUCUCGUAUUAUUGUAUACCUACAUACUAUACUAAGGGCGGGACAUCGUCAUGGCAGCACCCACAAGUAGGUAGAUAUGUAUAUCACCUUUGUAUGUACCCAUGUAAACAAUUUUUUUGGGGCUAUAGCCUCCUCACAGAAAACCAUUAUGUUACGCCUGUGGGGUUGACUAAGAAAAGCCAAGCCCGCAUUUAGAAUGAACAGAAAAGGUUAGGUUAGGUUAGGUUUGUAUUAAAUUUCUGGUGUUAUAUAGGUAUUGUGAGAAAUUGAUUCUGAAUAAAUUUCACAUACCAUGCUAAUUUAUUAGUUUUUCAAUGUUUAUUUUAUUCAUUUUUUUCUCUGGAUAACUUUAAUUUUUAAAUUAUGGUGACACCAACAAAAUUUCAAUUUCAUUUAUAUAUAUAUAUAUAUAUAUAUACACACAAUAUAGAUUAUCUUAUGUUUGACAACGUUAUUGAGUUCAGUUAGUUCAAAAUGAUUAAAUCAUCAAUAACCAUAACAAAAAUUAUCAUAUUACCUAUAAGUAACAUUGUAGUAUAUACCUAUGCUAGGUUUAAUAUACCAACUAGUGAAUAAGUUAUGGAGUAUAAAUGUUAUUCUAAUUGAUUUUCUAGACUACCAAUAUUAAAAACCAGAUAUUACAAUAUAUAUUUCAUAUUUCUGUAGACAUUUGAGAUUUUGUUGCAUUUUUAAUAGAUACCUACCUAUCUAAUUUAUAGUAUUUUUGAAUGAAGAUGUGCAACCUUAUGUAGUUUGUUAUCCUCAUUAGUUAUCGUUCAUAUUAAUUUGAUUUACCUAUUUAAUUUAUAUUUUAAGUGGAGGGAGUACCAUUUUUUUUUUUUUUUUUUUUUAGUUUUCUAUUAACACAUUUUUUGGCUGUAAACAUACUGAAUAAUUUACAUACAUAGUUUUACAAACAGACAAUUGAAUACAAAAGUGAAACCAUACUUUAGUAGGUUGAUACUUAAAUUUUUUUUUUAUUUUCUGAAUGGAACAUUGAAAAUAAUAGUAAGGAGAAAUGUACAGAAGUGGCAAAAUUUGAAUUUCGAUAUCAAAUAGCCUUGGAUUAUUCCAUUUGAUUUGAAAAUAAUAAUACUUUUAAGGCUAUAUUCUCUAAUUUGUACGUGUCAUUGGCCUAACUAGGAUUAAUUUAGUAUACAAAGUAUAUUUAUUCUAUAAAACUUUUUUUAUAUAUCAAUAAACAAUCUCAAAUUUUGUACUACUUUUUUUUUUCUGGAUAAGUUAAAUUAGUAAAAAUAUUUUUAUCUUUGAUUACUGUGAAACAUCAACUUUUGAAUUUUUGCAUAAUAUUUGGCUUUUCUAAAGAGCAUUAUAGAUAGCAAAAGAAACUUCUAAGGUACCUUGGUAUCAAACUAUUUUUUGUUAAUAAUUUUAAAUUUAAUACUUACUAUUUUUUGAGUAAAGUAUAAAUAAUAGUAGGUAUACAAGUUUACUGAACCAUUGAUCGAUUUAGAUAAAUAUUAUUGAAGUUAACAUUUUUAAAUAAGAAUUUCUCUGAAACUUCAGUGACCAAACUAAAAAAAAAAAUUUAAAUAAAAUUAUGCAAACAUUAAAAACACAUUUCAGUAUUGCUAACCAUUCUAGAAAAAAAAAAAUGGUAUGAUACAUCAUGAUUUUUGUGAUUUACACCUUAGUAAUUGUAAUAUCUUAGGAGAUGACCAAGUGAAAUUAUAUAAUAUAAACAAAUAGAAUUACAACUGAAAACAUGUGCGUACCAUUAUUAACUACUACAUAUAACAUCAAGAAAAAAAUCUCAUAGUAAAGAAUAACAUAAUAAAAGUAAUGUUAGCAUACACACAAAUAUAUAUAUCAAUGUUGCUAACAUCAUAACAGUAAUGUAAUGCAUUUCAAAUUUUGCAGAAAUUUCAAGUGCAGCCUCGUCCAUCCACUUGAUUACAUUACUGACAUUUACUA